UGCUGAUUAAGCUCUUACUCAUUUAUGUUAAAUGUCUAAUGAAAAGCUCUUUGAAUCUGGUUUAACCCAUAUUAAAUGCCCUAGUGGUGCCCCUGGAAUUAAAAGAGAAGAAGAAAAUUAAUCCUAUUCUUUGUUCCCUUUAUACAUUUUAAUAAAUUAUACUGCAUCUUCCUUAACGCAUUUAUGUCUCAGACAAAAUGCCAAAUGGUUUGAUCCUUUCAACAAAAAGCCAAGGAACAAAUUUGCACAUUAAAAUGUAGAGUGAUUCAACAAUUCAAGGCAUAGUGUUUUCCAGAAGGAAAUGAUGUGUUUUCUAUGUUUCUUAAUAACUCUGCACGAUGAUUUCUGCUUUGUAUUUAAGCAGGGUCUGAUGAAAGUUUGCUAAGUUUUUCUUUCUUUCUUUCUUUCUUUCUUUCUUUCUUUCUUUCUUUCUUUUUUCCACACAGCUCUUGAAUAUCCCUGUAUGUUGAAAACAACAGAAAGUAUGUUGGCUGCUUCUGCUUCAGCAGUGGAGGCCACAGCUCUACCGCAGCUGAAGCAUCUGGCCCUUCAGAGCAUACAAAUCCUGUCCUCAUGCUUUGUCUUACAGGUAUAAAGACAAAAUGGUUAAGAAGAAAACAAAACAAAACAAAACAACAACAACAACAACAAAAAAAGACCUCUUCCACUGUUAAAUUUUUGAUCCAGACUGGGAGGACUGAUUCAGUCCUGCAAUGGUUGGAAUUCACCAAAAGGAUGAAAUCACACCAGUUCUAUUAUCUGUCAGUUAAACUCUUUGAACCUUCAAGUCAUAUUCAUAGAAAGGAUAGUAUUUUGAGGGAUGCUAAAACUUGUAAAAUGGGGAAUGGAUCUGUGUUCAUUUACUGGCAAGUGCUGGAAGUUAUUAAGUGGUGCUGAUUUCUUGCUACAUGCAAACCCUAAUCUAUUGCCAAAAUCUGAAUAAAAAUGAAGUUUUACUGCCA
rnacentral:lncRNA from 1 species